ACCCCCGGCCCCCCGCCCCGGCGGGCCUCUCCUCCUCGGAGCGCUCAGUAGCCCGCCGGCUCCCCGCCUUUCCUGGAGUCCGAGGCGGCCGCCCAGCCGCCGGCUGUGCGCACGACGGCCUGGACCACGGCGAUGAUCCCGCUGACCCGUGACCGCACCUUGGAACCGAAGCUGCCGACCGGCAGGGUCAGAGCAGGGCAGCCCGCCCCGUGCCCACCAACACAUGCUCCCUGGAAAGGCACUCUGCUACCGUGGAGCCCCCCACUUCUGAGACACGCGGGCAGCUCCUGGCCCUCCCGGCCGCCCAGCAGCCCUACUAGAGGUUGAUGGUGCUGGUGGCUGACACAGCGCUUCCGUCCUCCGAGACCACCGACAGGUGGGCGGUACCCCCGCCGUCGGGCGUGUAGAACUCAGGCUCGUAGUAGGAGGCUGGGUGAGUGGUGCUGUCGGAGAUCCGGGCCCGGAGCUGGGCGGCAAAGAACUCGGAGGUCAUGUUGCGGACCACCUGCCGAGACCCCAGAGCUGCCCUGAGGAGGUGAAGGAGGCGAGGAGGGGGCACAGGCUUGUGCGAGCGGUUCUCAGGAAGCCCCCGACCGUGGCUCCAACCACAACCCUCUGAGUCUCACGUGGCCCGCCCAAACCCCCUCUCCCCAGGCUCUGUCUCUGUUGCUGCCCAGCAACUCUGAAUGACUGUCUGCUCUCAGAACCCUGACUUUCGCUGCACCCAACCAUUCAUUCACUCAUUCACAGAGCCUGUCCGUACGGGCCCGAAAAGGCCUUUAAAGCCUCCUGCACUUGGGGCGGAGAAGUGGCCAGCUGACGGCGGGAGGUGCGGUGCAGCAGGGGCGGCCGGGGACGGUGGGAGCCUGACUGGAGACGCGCGCCUGUUGGAUCCUGAAGAUCCUGUCCCGGGUGUGUGAUGGGCUGCCCUGACCUGUGGAGUUCACGGGCAAGGCAGGGCCCUGGAGGCCGAGCAGAGGCUGUGGGCUCUUGCAACACCCACGGAUUAAGUGACUAAUUCAUUAAGUUCAAAUCUAUUCCAAGAGAGCAGCUGGACCAGGGACUGGGACAUCCUAUGAUCCAACUGCCCAGGGCCUUAAAAUCCACAGGACAACAGCCCAGGGCGGGGGUCCGUCGAGGCUAAGAGACUGGAGGGCCUCUGCCCACCUGGAUUGAACCUCGUCAUCAGCCCUGCGGGCUGGGGCGCCCCUGUGCGCUCGGCCCCCACCUCGGCGCUGACAGCUCCAGGGGUUUCCAGCCAAGGACAGGACUUGUGCUGAGGCCCCGAAGCCGGAGGCUGGCGGAGGACGCAGGCACUGAGGACCGCCCCCAGCACCCCCACUCCCGCAGCGAGAGCGCCCUGGCACGGAGGCCAGCACUUGGUCAGCAGUCCACCCCAGCACCUGGUGGCCCCAAGCCCAAACUUGGCACUGCAAACCGAGGAAUAAGCCAGAGUGGGGCUGAGCCCCCUGCCCCCUUACCUCAGUCACGUUGACAAACUUGGGGUCCCCAAGCAGGGUCCUCUUGGCGUAGGCAAAGCGGAAGGCCUCCACGAUGCGGUGGUAGGUCAGGCCCUUCUGCUCAGGCGUCUCCACGCUCGCCCGGGAGAAGUUGUACCCUGGUCGGGCAGAGCCACAGUGACCCCAGCGUCCUGGGUCCCCUUGGCUAGGACAGUGGGGUCCCCGGGAGGCCUCCCUGAGUCACUCGGCUCACCCUGAGAAGGGGAACAUUUACUAUCCGCCGGCAGUGCCUGCUUGGGAGGCGGGGGAAGGAAGCAAAGGUCCCCAUGUCUGGGCAGCACACGUCAGCCACAGGGUUACCCAGGCCCCAGGGUGGCGGAUGACCGCCCAGAUCCACCGGGCGUGCCCCUGGCCCGGCCCGCCCAGCCCGCAGCCCGGGACACGGCUGACCUUUGAGGAUGUUGAUGAUGAGGGCCAGCACGGGCCCGCUGAGCGGGGCACUGGGCGCGUAGAGCUGGGCGUCCCCGAGGCUGAUGCUCAGCGGCUGCUCAACCAGCUCUGCCCGGUAGCUGUUCAGGUCCUCGGCCGUCACAAUGCCCCCUGCAGCGGGGGGCCCAGGGAUGAGACACACUUCUAGGGGACCGUCAAGUGGGGAGCCCCGUCCACUGCCCCCCACGCCCCCCGACUGUGCCACCUCCCGGGGCCAGGCCCAGGCCAGCGUCUUCCACCUGCUGCACCUUUGGCCUCCGGGUCCAACACGUGUCCUCUCGGGGGGCCAGAGGUGCCCCGUCUCCCAUCAGCCUCCUCCUCCUCUGACUAGUGGGUGGGUGGAGGGAGGGCCUUAAUAAUUCUCCAGGGAAACUGGCUCCAGACAGAUGAAGUGUUUGAAGUAUUUAUAGGCUAAUUUCCGGUGUCAGUGGUAAAGGUCAAUACGCUAAUCGCCUUCCUCCCUGGCACACAGCUUAGGGAGGCAGGGGCGGGAAAGAGAGGCAACUGGGACUCCUAAAUCCACCAGAACCUGCCCACACGUUCCCUGCAUGCAGCACCCCCCACACCUCUCCCAGCAAGCCCACCCUCCUUCCCUGUGAUCCUCCUGGAGAAUUAAAACCCCUCUCUCCAA